rnacentral:rRNA from 1 species
GAUGAACGCUGGCGGCGUGCCUAAUACAUGCAAGUCGAGCGAACAGACGUGUAGCUUGCUCCUCUGACGUUAGUGGCGGGCGAGUGCGUGACACGUGGAUAACCUCCCUAUCAGACUGCGAUAGCUUCUAGAACCCGGACCGAAUACCGGAUAACAUGAUCCACCGCAUGGUUCAACUGUGUCUGACUGUCUUGCUGUCACUUCAAUAGCUUUCCGAGUCGCAUUUGGUUGUUGGUAAGGUAACGGUUUACCAAGGCAAUGAUGCGUAGCCGACCUGAGAGAGGGAUCGGAGACACUGGAAGUGAGACACGGGCCAGACUCGUACGGGAGGCAGCAGUAGGGAAUCAUCCGAAAUAGGAGAAAGGAAGACGGAGCAACGCGGCGAGAGUGAAGAAGGUAUUGGGAUCGUAAAACUGUGUGAUUAGGGAAGAAGAAAUGUGUAAGUAACAAAACAAGUAUUGACGGUACCUAAUCAGAAAGCAACGGCUAACUACGUG